AGGAGUAGUAGUACUGUAAUUCCUAUUGGUAUAUGAUAUUUUUUAAAGCUUUAAAAAAAAAUCAUUAAUUUUUUUCCAGAUGAUGAUUUCAGCAAUCAUGAUGAUCAUGUAGCUGAAGAUGAUGUCCAGCCACAUGUUGAAGACCUAUUGGCUGAGGGCAAUUUCAAAAAAGACUCCAACUCAUGAUAAGGUUAUAGCUGAUUAUAUCCAGGAGCAACCACACAAUUGAUAUGCAAUGUCAUGAAUUCCUACUUGACGUAUUUUCGAGCGGUAUAGAAAU